AGCUGCGCAAGGAUCAUUA
rnacentral:rRNA from 1 species